rnacentral:rRNA from 1 species
CAAUAGCGUAUAUUAAAGUUGUUGCGGUAAAAAAGCUCGUAGUUGGAUUUCUACCGAAGAUAGCUGGUCGGGUCUUCGACCUUGUAUCUGGUUUUGUCUUUGGUAUCCUCAUAGGGAACGUUUCUGCGCUUUAUUGCGUGGUGCGGUAUCUAUGACUUUUACUUUGAGGAAAUUAGAGUGUUCACGGCAGGCAAACGCCUUGAAUAUAUUAGCAUGGAAUAAUAACAUAGGAUCUUCGUCCUAUUUUGUUGGUUUCUAGGGCUAAGAUAAUGAUUAAUAGGGAUAAUUGGGGGCAUCUGUAUCAACGCGUCAGAGGUGGAAUUCUUGGAUUGCGUUGCGACAAACUACUGCGAAAGCAUUUGCCAAGGAUGUUUUCAUUGA